GAACAGAGAGGGAGACACACAAUCUAAAGCAGGCUCUAGGCCGUCGCGGGGCUCAAGCUCACAAACUGAGAGUUCAUGACCUGAACUCUCACAAACUGAGAGUUCAUGACCUGAGCCGAAGUCAGACGUUCAACUGACUGAGCCACCCAGGCACCCCGGGUCUGAUUUCUUAUCUACCAAAUGGGAGAGCUGGGUAAGAGGCAACUGAGGCUUCCAGGAAAAUCAUACCUUGGGUGAUGAAAGGCUGAGAGGAGUGGGUGAUGGGGAGCCACACUUAGUUGGGUGGGUGCAGAUGACAGCCUGGAGGUAUUAAAGUUGAGAGAGAGAGAAAACUGUGAUCCAGCUCUGAACACUUUCUUCCCCUUCUGAAGUCAGCGUUGCAAAGGAUUACAAAGGAGGGAAGUCUGUUGUCAAGAGUGGCUGCCUGAGAAUCAGCACUGACGCCCAGGGUCCCGCCUCUGCUCAUGUCAAUCACUGCCACAGCUCCUUACAGUCCCAAACUGCUUUUCCCCUUCUGCAAGCACUAACUAUUGCUCUGUGAAAAACAGAGAUGCAUCCUCAAAACCAUUCACUGCACUGAGAAAAGGUAAUAAAACAGGGAUUAUCUAAGAUUGACCAGAGGUAAAAUAAAAAGGAAGUGGCUGGUAUCUUGCCCGGCACAUGGCGGGAGCACAAUGUGUUUUUUCCUGCCUCCCAAGAUGGAAUGAAUGUCACAGACAUCAACAGGCUGAUUGUCUAUUUCGAGGGGGUCUGGUAGAGUAGGGAAAAGACCCCAUUCAUGAGGGGAGAGGUUACUCCAGUUGUCUCCGAUGUUUCCUCCCUUUGAGAAAUACACACUAAAUUCCCACCCGGACCCACUUCCUGUGCUCUGUAUCCCUCGGGAGCCCCCCACCCUCCUUCCCCCCUCUCUGCAUUUUCAGCAAGUUCCCCUAUGUGUGUUCAGAGGGCUGGUCCGAGGCCUUUAACGAUGGGGGUUGAGGGGGUGGAGCUAGAAACACAGCCUGUGUGAGAGAAGGUUAGCAGGUGUAAGGGUGCAAGGGCGGCCAUCUGAAGGGUAGCGGCGGUCUGAGGGCUCACUUUUCAGGAGUCAGGCCUUGGCUGACUUGUGAGUUGGGGAGGCAUCAGGAAGGGCCCUCUGCUGCGGAUUCUAAGUGCCUUCUGGGAGAGGGGAUAAGGAAACGGUGCAGGGGGGGAUCUCACGAAGGGGGAUAUGUGGGUGUGUGUGGCAGCCACUCCCCUGAAGAGUGUGUAGUGAAGGCUUGGCUCUCUUAGGUUCAGUCUGGCCUCCAGAAAUGACUCCUCCGCGUCUAAGAAGCUCCUUCCUAGAGGCUAUUAUUCAUUACCACCCUUCCACUUCACGCAAAGGACUGAGAAAUAGCCAAUCAGAAUAGGACCGCGGUGGCUUCCAGCCAAUCAGCAUUAAAGAAGGGCUGGUGCGGCCCGGCCGCGGAUGAAGCCGCCUUCGAGGCUAGGGCCCAAGCAGUGUGGGCGGGGUUUUCUUGUAGCGGAAGCGGUUCAGUCCCUCUUCGCGAGGAUUGGCUGCUCCGGUUCAACUGCGUGCUUGUCAAGGAGCCUCCCUAUUACGCAUGCGCAGUCACUCUGGUGCUCUUCGUAGCCCAGUAAAGGUCGGCACUCCGGUCAAGUCGCGCAGUGUCUUUGUCCAUCCAUUCAUAGGUUCGCGCUCCCAUAAUGGUCACAGUCUUCCGGAACUCGUGGUCUUCAGUAACUGGGACCCUAGAGGCUGAAGGAUAGCUGAGGUGAAGGGACAGGACAGCUGGUGAGCCCAGAGCAGUGAGUGCUGAAGCCAUCCCCUCCACCACACAGCCCUUGGAGAACCAGUUUUGCUGCUAGAGGGUUGUAGUGUGAGUGCCUGACAGCAAGCUUUGGAGAGCCCAGACCUCCAGGGCCAAGGCAUUCAUCUCGGGAGACAGACCACCAGCUGGCCGACACAGCUACCAGCUACACAACUGGGAAAGGAGCCGAGCCUGCACCACCCAGGAGGCUCCCCUCUUCCAGACCCCUGGGUGAUAACCGACCACUUGAGUGACCCCACUUUUCCCUUCCCACCCAAAUUCCCGCUCUUAUGUUUUGAACUUGCCAAUAAAGACUGAAUCCGCGAAACCCUAGGCCCCACCCCCACCCCCCUACCCCCCUGCCCCCCUCAGGCACCAAGGAGAAGCAAGUGGCUGAGUGUGGCUUCAGAGUUGGGCCUGCCUUGCCGUCCUGCUGUGGGGGAGCACGUGGACGUGAGGAAAGAUUUGGGCUGUGCUCAUUCCCUCCUCCGACCCUUUCCAGAAAUUCUAUUUCUUCUUCAAUUUCCCCUUCCCAGGAAAGCUUCCCAACUUCUAUAGCUUUAUCCCGAUACCUCCUCCUGCUCCCCCCCCCCCCCCGAACUUUGUCACGCCCUUCUCCAGACUUUGCCACUCCACCUUCCGCUACAGGUGGUUGGCUUCCUCUGUGUGCCUCACCCAACCCGAGAGCUCCUUGGCGGGCAGCCAUGCCUCACAUGCACCACAGCGGCCCUGGAGCCUGGGGCCGGGUGGCCAGAGUCCACAAAUGUCUGCUCCACGCCUGAUCGCUGCUGCAGCUGCAGACAAGGGGCCUGUGUACAGUGGGCACCUGGUGUGGGCCUCUCCGUCAGCAGGUCCGGGGGAGACUUUGCAGAGAGAACGCCAGUGGCGGUCACUGCGCUAUGGCCACACCCAUCUGGGACAGACGGUAAUCCAGUUACCAGGGAGAAGUUCCCAGGAAUAAAGAUUCGGAGGUCGGUUUCCCAUUCCUGACCUGGUGCCGUCUCCACGGGCUUGGUGGACAAACUUGACCUGCAGCGAGCCAGAGCCUCAGGCUGCGUGGCUGCCACCGGCCAGGGCUUCUGUUAGACCUGCAGAGACAAGGAAGCACUGCGAACUGCCUGCGGUUUGCUGCCAGGAGAGUUGAUGGAAUCGACAGCAGGGCACUCACCUCCAUAUCCUGCUGUGGACACCUGGCAACAUUUAUGAAAUCUGGGGCUGUCACAUUGUUUUCUGUGUAUUUAAGGGAAAAAAUGUAAUUUAAAAAAUGAAUAGGGGUGCCUGAGUGACUCAGUAGGUUAAGCAUCCGACUUCGGCUCAGGUCAUGAUCUCGCAGUUCAUGAGUUCGAGCCCCGCAUCAGUCUCCGUGCUGAAUGCUUGGAGCCUGGAACCUACUUUGGAUUCUGUGUCUCCCUCUCUCUCUACUCCUCCCCCACUCGUGCUCUGUCUCUGUCUCUCAAAAAUAAAUAAAAAACAUUAAAAAAUUUAAAAAUGAAUAGCAGACACAGAGUGAGUGCAUUGAGCAAACAGAAGCCUGGGAGCCUCUCAGAAAACAACAGGAUCUUUGUGUGGCUUAUGGUGCGGUGUCCCAAGGUAAGACUGAAAGUCUGACAUCCGGAAGGAGGCAGAGGCUUGACUUCAAGCCCCCAAAGUUAGGCUAGUACUUUAGGUGCUGCUCACCCUGCCUGGAGAAAUGAGGUAAGAACCACCCCUGAGGGGGUGUCUGAGUGGCUCAGGUGGUUAAGCGUCCGGCGCUUGAUUUCUGCUCAGGUCAUGAUCUCAUGAUUUGUGAGACUGAGUCCGCAGUGGGGCUGACAGCACAGAGCCUGCUUGGGCUUCUCUCUCUCUGCCUCUCUGUCUCUCUGCCCCUCCCCUGAUCACAUGGGCAAUCUCCCCCCCA